rnacentral:rRNA from 1 species
CCUACGGGGGGCAGCAGUGAGGAAUAUUGGUCAAUGGGCGCGAGCCUGAACCAGCCAAGUAGCGUGAAGGAUGACUGCCCUACGGGUUGUCAACUUCUUUUAUAAAGAAAUAAAGUGAGGCACGUGUGCCGUUUUGUAUGUACUUUAUGAAUAAGGAUCGGCGAACUCCGUGCCUGCAGCCGCGGUAAUACGGAGGAUCCGAGCGUUAUCCGGAUUUAUUGGGUUUAAAGGGAGCGUAGAUGGGUUGUUAAGUCAGUUGUGAAAGUUUGCGGCUCAACCGUAAAAUUGCAAUUGAUACUGGCAGUCGUGAGUACAGUUGAGGUAGGUGGAAUUCGUGGUGUAGCUGUGAAAUGCUUCUGUAUCACGAAGAACUCCGAUUGCGAAGGCAGCUUACUAAACUGCCACUGACAUUGAUGCUCGAAAGUGUGGGUAUCAAACAGGAUUAGAUACCCUUGUAGUC